AGGAGGCGAAGAAUUUCUGGGCUUUACGGGUCCCGGAGCAGAAGUUCUCCCAUGAGUGGAGAGGAGCAUCCACAGCAUCAAUGGUCAAAGGAUCAUUAGACAACAUCAGUGAGUGUAGCAGCAGCAUGCUGCAAAAGAAGACUGAAGGUUACAGACCUGGAGGGAGACAAGAGGCCAUGGCCUGAUUGUAAUGAAGAUUAAAGCCACUCACCUGCGAAGGCUCAGGGCCACUAGCCUGCCUUGAAAGGUCCUGCGAAGCAGGAGAGGGACCCUAGGACUAUUGCAUUGGACUGAGGACAGGCACACCAAUGCACAGGGUCACCAAUGCAGAGGGUCAGUGAAGAGGAGACCCAGAGGCCCACCUGGGUAUCACUCCAGGCAGGAACUUACUGGGGACUAUGUUUUGUUGAGGGAUUUUGUUUGGAAUAAGCUUGAGUAGGCCUAGAGUAAGGCCCGUCUGUGGCUAGCCAUCAAGGGCCUGUGGGCAAGAAACUGUGCAAGGAUGAAAGUCUCCGGUUAAACCCUAACCACCUGGGGGCCAGAAGUAGCUGGCUUCAUCAAGUGGCGACAGCCCCGUAUGGGUGGAACCAGGGCAAGCUUGAUUUAUCCACCACAUAACAAACUAAUUCAUUCACCGGCAGUGACUUUUCACUUCUUGUUGUUAACUGAUAUAGUAAAGGCAGGGGUGUAAGAAAAGGAGGAGCCCCUUUAAUGUCCAGGGUGGAACACUUGGAAGGCAGCUGUCAGCAUGCUCCAGCUCCCAACAAGCAAAGCAUCCCAUGAAGUCAUGGCAGGAAACUGUGGACAGCCACAUCACAGGGGACACCUUCCCGAUGGCACAUACAUACUGGACCCUACAGUAAUACAGACCCAGAUCAUACCAGAUGUCAGUGGAUGUACUUUGGAUUUUGCCAAUAUGAAAAAAGAAUCAGAUCUAGUGUUUUCAACUGGAAUAGAAGGGCAGGACUAGACUCUAAUUAAUUCUGCAUUAAACUGGAGUGUAGAUUGAGCAGGAAAUGGGAUGAAAUACUUGUAAGUAUGAAUUACAACAAAUACUGUACUUAGAUGAGACAUAUUUGCCAACAACAGUCCACAGCACCAGGUUUCUGGCUGUAUCUUCACCUUCUGUAGCCAAUCACUAGCUUUCCUAGUCUGGGCUCUCUGUCUUCCUGAGGUAAAGCCAGUUCUGUACAAGGCUUUCCUCGAGAGCUCUUGGAAGAGAAUACCUCUCAGCCUGGCUUAGGAAACUUGUGCCUGAUUUAAACUUGCAGCUCGCUGUUAAAGUGAAACUAAACAGUAAGCUGGGAGGUUGAAAGCGAUGUCAAUGCCAGAAGCCUCUAGACUCUAGAGCAUGAAACUGGAUUGUGCUGAAGACCACAGGUGUGUAAAUGACAUCUUUCACUAAGACUUG
rnacentral:lncRNA from 1 species